GCUGACGCCAUUGUAGACCUCAGCCCGUCUGUACCCAGGCGCUCAUUAGAACAGCGUGUUGCUCCACACCGCCUUGUGGUGUUUGUUACCGCGCUCUUGGGGUUCGAACCGAUACAGCAGGCUUGCAGCUAUUUCAUUGGUUUAAACUUUUAUUUUUUUAUUGCAAAUGAAAAUUACUAUCAACUAUCAUUACAAAGCUGUAGAAUAUGAAGUUCGAAGGAAAACGCUGAAUCAGUAUACAAAAGCGUCUCAAUCAGACUCAUCCAUUUUGAAGCAAUUCCUCUGCCAUUUUGCCACCUCCUCUCAAAUUCAGCGACUUACCAGGUAAACUCCUCUUGUAGAUUGCUCUUCAAAGGUAAGCUCAUGCCGAGGGUACAACACAGUGGUUAAGACACUGGUGAUAAAACUGGAUCUUUCCUCUAGCAUCUACUUAACAUGAUAUGUUAAUAUGAAGUGUGUGCUUUGUAUACUUUGAGAUGCACCACAAAAAAGGUCUAAAAUUUCUUCAGAAAACACAAUUCUGAAUGUCUGUGGUGUUUGAGGUAAUGAGUGCCUUCUUUACCAUGUAAAGGACCUGAGGUAGUUAACACAUGAAGUCAUCAUUAUUCAAGUUGCUUUCCUGACAACUAUAAGAUGAGAUAAGUUUUGGUGGAAAUUUGAGAGCUGAUGGGGUGGAGAGUAGAAGAGAUGGCCUAAUUCUGUAUGCAGGUCAUUGCCUUUGAAGACAGGCUUAGGUGGAGCUCUGAGGGAGGAGGAGGAGGAGACGGGAGGAUGGGACCCAGGGUAGAUGAAGAGUAGGCCGGUAGAGGAAGGUGCAGUUGGUUGGUACAUAUGGGUGGGCUUUGGGUGCUGAGGAGCAGAGAGAGAGAGGUAUUAAGAGUUAGGACAAUGCCAGGCCAAAUUAGUCUAUGUGGCUAUUUUGCUCAAAAACCUGUUUUACAACUUCUUGCCCUUGCCGUAGAAUUAUGCAGGAGCCUGAGGCCUGGAAUCCUCCUAAGACAUUCAGACCCGCUUAGGUGGAGCUCUUCAUUCGGCCACUGAACUCUUGCUUUACCCAGAACCUACUAGAUAACUGUCCACGCUUCUCCAAAUACUCCCUGACUCUCUAACUUCAGUUUCUCCUUUGGUGACAAGUCAAUGGCAUUCUCAGCUUCCCUUCUCAUCCCCAGAGCAGGGUGUCCUACACCUUUUCUUCCCUUUCUGAUCUCUUCUCCCUCUCAGCUCUAACCCCUAACCCUAAUCCUCCAUUUUGGUGAAUGUGGAUUUUACCCCUCUCCUGAUAUAACUUUACAAUUUAUCCUCCUGAAUCAAUUUAAGAAAACCUUGUGCCAGUUUACUAUAGAAAGGGGUUAUAAUAUGUUAUGAGCAAACAACUAAAUGAAAGCUGGAGCUGGGAAGAAAUCCAGUGUAUCAGCAUCACUAGUAACGUUAUCUGGAGAUCCUGUUUCUAGCCCAGUUUUUCCUUAAGUAGUAUCUACAUCUGAUUAUAAAUCCUACCUCUCCCCAAAUGCUGUUUUAUAAAGAAGUAGAAGAAAUGUAGAAUCUGGGAUUACGUUUCUCCAUGGUUCUGGAUGUCAGGAUUGCACCAAAACAAUAUAAAUUAUAAUUUUAAGUUACCGAGUUUAGAAAUCAAAUUCCCUUAAUAUUAGGUUGGUGCAAAACUUAAAAUCACAAUGAUUUUGCACCAAUCUAAUAAAUAGUCUAAAAUAAAAUGGUUUUCGGUAUUGCAGAGAGGGCCCGAAUCAGGAGGCGGACCCCAGUUCCAGGUCUGCCCUCAACUUCCUGGGCAUCUUGUGGAAAUAACUUUUCUCUGAGCCUCAUGGUACUAAUUCAUGAAAUAAGGUUAUGAUACCUAUGUCACCAAAGUACUGUGAAGUUUGAAUGAGAUAAUGAAUGGGAAGCCACCUUUUAAUGUGCCAGGCACACAAGAGUCAUUCAAUAAUUAUUGUUUGAAUCUGAACCCCAUUGUCAAAGGCAUUCAAACCAGGGGGACUCCAUCUUGGAGUAGGAGCUGGGUAAAAUGAAGCUCAGACCUGCUGGGUUUUAUUCCCCAGGAGGUUAGGCAUUCUUAGUUAACAGGAUAUUUACAGUUAAGAGAAUAAGUUAAUCGUGUUUACUGAACAGACCUACGACCUAACAGACCCAGGAAAUGUCCUGAUGUCCUGAUAUCUUAAGAACAAAAGCAUUCUUAAACUAAGAAUCAGUUUCACUUUAAAGAUAAUAAUAUAAAUUCUUGCAGAAGACUGUAGUUACACAAGAAUUAACAAUUAUUUGUCAAAAGCUCUUGUAGUAAAGCACAUCUCCCCCAUGAUUUUUUUGCUUUGUUAUCUUAUAUAUAUAAAAGCAUUGCACCCAAGGUGGGCAUGUUCCUCCUCUUGCUUUUGGGAAUGCUCUGCCCCGUCUAUAGAGUAGCUAUUCUUUAUUCUUUCAUUCCUCUGUUUUCUAUUUUUCUUUUUUUUUUUGAGACGGAAACUUGCUCUGCCUCCAGGCUGGAGCACAGUGGUGCGAUCUCGGCUCACUGCAACCUCUACCUCCCGGGUUCAAGCAAUUCUCCUGCCUCAGCCUCCCGAGUAGCUGAGACUACAAGUGCCUGCCAGCACGCCCAGCUA
rnacentral:lncRNA from 1 species